rnacentral:rRNA from 1 species
AUUGAACGCUGGCGGCAGGCCUAACACAUGCAAGUCGAGCGGAUGAAGGGAGCUUGCUCCUGGAUUCAGCGGCGGACGGGUGAGUAAUGCCUAGGAAUCUGCCUGGUAGUGGGGGAUAACGUCCGGAAACGGGCGCUAAUACCGCAUACGUCCUGAGGGAGAAAGUGGGGGAUCUUCGGACCUCACGCUAUCAGAUGAGCCUAGGUCGGAUUAGCUAGUUGGUGGGGUAAAGGCCUACCAAGGCGACGAUCCGUAACUGGUCUGAGGGGAUGAUCAGGCACACUGGAACUGAGACACGGUCCAGACUCCUACGGGAGGCAGCAGUGGGGAAUAUUGGACAAUGGGCGAAAGCCUGAUCCAGCCAUGCCGCGUGUGUGAAGAAGGUCUUCGGAUUGUAAAGCACUUUAAGUUGGGAGGAAGGGCAGUAAGUUAAUACCUUGCUGUUUUGACGUUACCAACAGAAUAAGCACCGGCUAACUUCGUG